CCUACGGGUGACAGCAGUGGGGAAUAUUGGUCAAUGGGCGCGAGCCUGAAGGAGCGACGCAGCGUGAAGGAUGACUGCCCUACGGGCUGUAAACUCCUUUUAUAAAGGAAUAAAGUGAGGCACGUGUGCCUUUUUGUAUGUACUUUAUGAAUAAGGAACGGCUAACUCCGUGCCAGCAGCCGCGGGAAUACGGAGGAGCCGAGCGUUAUCCGGAUUUAUUGGGUUUAAGGGAAGCGUAGAGGGGUUGGUAAGUCAGGUGUGAAAGGACGCGGCUCAACCGGAAGAUUGCAAUUGAUACUGGGAGACUUGAGUACAGAUGAGGUAAGCGGAAUUCGUGGUGUAGCGGUGAAAUGCUUAGAUAUCGAGAAGAACA
rnacentral:rRNA from 1 species